AACAAUGCCUGUAAAUUAUUGUUUUAUUUCAAUAGGUUAUAGGGGUAAUGUCUUUAAACAGAAGCAUACUGUUGUGGAGUGAAAGUGCACAAACCAUUGAUAACCCUUUGGAGAAUCAGUACCAGAUGUCUUUUCAAAUGUUUGCCAUUCUGAAGUUUUUUUUGACUGAGCAGUGUCAAACAGUCUUCGGAUCCUAGAGAAUCAGUUCCUCCAAAUGAACAAAUCACCAGUCAUAAAAAUUAUGGGCAGAGAUAUUUCAUGGAAGAGAGAUAACAUGACAAUACAAAAAUAGGUGUUGCAAUGGAUUCGGAGGUGAAGUCAUGAGGAGUUGUUGUGAUGGCAGAAGAAUGAGUGAUCAUUUAGCAUUUUGCACAAGGGUGUACGAGUGGUCCAGUUAAACAGAGAUUACAAACAAUUAAAACUAUAAUUUGAUAUUACAUCUACUUGUGAUUGAUGGAAGUAAUUCAAAGUAUCAUUUGGACAGAUCUGAUGAGUUAACAAAUAUUUGAAAGUAUACGAGGAACAGUUUACACACCUUCAAUAUUAGUAUGUUGUAUAGUAAAUAUAAUAAACAAUUAAAGUUGAAAAACUGAACUGGUUUUCACUUGAUAUACAAAGAGGUAGAUUAGCAUGUUUAGAUUUGCCACUGAACAUGUGUUUCCAUUUCAUCAAUACUUCCUGUGGUUAAAGUAUUCUGAUCAAAUCUAUUUAUUUCCGGUUGAGCUAAUGUUUCUGCAACUUCAAAAAAGAAGAUUUGUUGUGUAACAAUGAAAUUAAUGAGUAGAUAUUAAUAUAUAAAAAAUGUAGGCUAAAGCACGACAUAUAAGA